rnacentral:rRNA from 1 species
UACGUAGGGGGCAAGCGUUGUCCGGAAUUACUGGGCGUAAAGAGCUCGUAGGUGGUUUGUCGCGUUGUCCGUGAAAACUCACAACUCAAUUGUGGGCGUGCGGGCGAUACGGGCAGACUGGAGUACUGCAGGGGAGACUGGAAUUUUUGGUGUAGCGGUGGAAUGCGCAGAUAUCAGGAGGAACACCGGUGGCGAAGGCGGGUCUCUGGGCAGUAACUGACGCUGAGGAGCGAAAGCGUGGGGAGCGAACAGG